rnacentral:rRNA from 1 species
UACGUAGGGUGCGAGCGUUGUCCGGAAUUACUGGGCGUAAAGAGCUCGUAGGUGGUUUGUCGCGUUGUUCGUGAAAACCGGGGGCUUAACCCUCGGCGUGCGGGCGAUACGGGCAGACUUGAUACUGCAGGGGAGACUGGAAUUCCUGGUGUAGCGGUGGAAUGCGCAGAUAUCAGGAGGAACACCCGUAGCGAAGGCGGCACUCUGGGCCGAUACUGACACUGAGGAGCGAAAGCGUGGGGAGCGAACAGG